UCUUUAGCUUCAGGAGCCGGAGGUUUAUUUUUCUUGUACCAGAUCUAAAGCCCUCCGUUAGGAGAAGGUUCUUAUUUACGCUUUUAUUUACUUUCUGUCUACGCUUUUAUUUUAUUUAUUUUCUGCACUCGCUUUACUUUAUUUAUUUUCCGCACUCACUUUACUUUAUUUAUUUUCUCCACUCGCUUUACUUUAUUUAUUUUCCGCACUCGCUUUACUUUAUUUAUUUUCCGCACUCGCUUUACUUUAUUUAUUUUCCGC
rnacentral:lncRNA from 1 species